rnacentral:rRNA from 1 species
GACGAACGCUGGCGGCGUGCUUAACACAUGCAAGUCGAACGGUGAAGCGCCUUCCUUUUUGGUGGGUGUGGAUGAGUGGCGAACGGGUGAGUAACACGUGAGUAACCUGCCCCCUUCUUCUGGCUAACCGCAUGAAAGUGUGGCUAAUACGGGAUAUUCUGGGUCUGUCGCAUGAUGGGUCUGGGAAAGAUAUUGUUUCGGUGGGGGAGGGGCUCGCGGCCUACCAGCUUGUUGGUGGGGUGAUGGCCUACCACGGCGGUGACGGGUAGCCGGCCGGAGAGGGUGGACGGUCACACUGGGACUGAGACACGGCCCAGACUCCUACGGGGGGCAGCAGUGGGGAGUAUUGCACAAUGGGCGCAAGCCUGAUGCCGCGACGCCGCGUGAGGGAGGGAGGCCUGCGGGUUGUGAACCUCUUUCGCCAGUGAAGCGUGCCUGCCUCGUGUGUGGGUGGGUUGACGGUAGCUGGAGAAGAAGCGCCGGCUAACUACGUG